rnacentral:rRNA from 1 species
UACAGAGGGGGCAAGCGUUGUUCGGAAUUACUGGGCGUAAAGAGCGCGCAGGCGGUCGAGUAAGUCGAAUGUGAAAGCCCCCGGCUUAACUGGGGAGGGUCAUUCGAUACUGUUCGACUUGAAGGCAGGAGAGGGCAGCAGAAUUCCCGGUGUAGUGGUGAAAUGCGUAGAGAUGUGGAGGAACACCAGUGGCGAAGGCGACUCUUUGGCCUGUAACUGACGCUGAGGCGCGAAAGCAUGGGGAGCAAACAGG